AAUGAAGCUUCAAUAAAUGAUUUAAAAAUCGGGUGCGGACGAUUUGGUCUAGAUAAGAAUUCUGGGUGG
rnacentral:sRNA from 1 species